GACGGGCUGGAGGACGAGCGGGCGUCCGCGCGGCUGCGGGCCGCGCUGGCGGUCGGUUCGGCGCCGGACCCGCGU
rnacentral:tRNA from 5 species